GAGUUCGUGGAGCAUUUCCCAGCCUGGCAAGUCUGCAUUCCUUUCCGCACGAUGAUGCCAGUUCCUAAUUCCUGGACAAAAAAUAAGAACUGCUAAGCCUGUAACCAUCAAAUACCAAGCGGGCUGCUUCUGUAGCGACCAGUUACCCACGUGAAAUCUCUUAGGGUACACUCUUUACUCCAAGGACUUGUCCAUGCAAAUGUGGUUUUAUCAGUCAGUGGAACUUGCUAAAACUGCUCUCCGCUCCGGGAGCAGACCGUUUCUCCGUACCUCCGUGCCUUCACGCUGGGUCUUUCCGAUGCCCGUGACCCAGAUUACCACAACCACUACUACAAACAACAAAUGACACCUCGGAAUGCAAUUUCUGCCCCAUGAUCUUGGGCAAGGAAUUAUCUCUGGACAUUGGCUGUUUCCUCUGUAAAAUAAGUGAAUAUAGCCUGUGAGGCCCGAGAGCCCAGUGGCCAGUAAUCAGGAAUGCAGGCACAUUUUCCAGACUCCUGUCAUCUCUCUGGGGCCAUAAGACUUGCUCUGAUCAAUGGAAUAUGUGCUAAAGUAAUGAACACCAUCACUCUAAAGGGUCCAGCCUCAAAUAUCCUGCAUCAUGUUCCACAUUCUGUCAAUUCACUUGUCAAGCGAUCAAAAUGUAGGUGAUCUAGGAGAGGAGUCCAAGGAAGCCCUAGGAGAUAGUGGAGCUAUGGGAGGAUCUUUUGUCAUCACUUGAAGAAUUGUCCAGGAGAGCAGCCAUUAAACUAUGGCAUGAAGAAGGAAUAAACUUUGUUGAGGUAAGAUCGCCUCCACUGCAUGUAAUGGAGAUUUUGACUGCAGAAGUGAGAAGAUAAAAGGAGUAAUAAACAACUUUGGAGCAUGGGGUACUUCGUGGAAAGAAUGAGGCCUGGAAGUAUGCUUCAGAAAGGUUUAGAGCCUGGGAAGCAGGACAGCAUGAGAGGAGAAAGAGAUGUAAAAGGAGAAGAAUAUUAAAAUAAUGUUUUUCUGGUUUCUGGAUUUUUUUUUUUUUUAAAUCCAGGGUCAUGCCUAAACACAA